rnacentral:rRNA from 1 species
GAUGAACGCUGGCGGCGUGCUUAACACAUGCAAGUCGAACGGUGAACGAGGGAGCUUGCUCUCUCCGGAUCAGUGGCGAACGGGUGAGUAACACGUGAGCAAUCUGUCCUGGACUCUGGGAUAAGCGUUGGAAACGACGUCUAAUACCGGAUACGAGGCGUGGGGGCAUCCCCAACGCCUGGAAAGAACUUCGGUCCAGGAUGAGCUCGCGGCCUAUCAGGUAGUUGGUGAGGUAAUGGCUCACCAAGCCUACGACGGGUAGCCGGCCUGAGAGGGUGACCGGCCACACUGGGACUGAGACACGGCCCAGACUCCUACGGGAGGCAGCAGUGGGGAAUAUUGCACAAUGGGCGAAAGCCUGAUGCAGCAACGCCGCGUGAGGGACGACGGCCUUCGGGUUGUAAACCUCUUUUAGCAGGGAAGAAGCGAAAGUGACGGUACCUGCAGAAAAAGCACCGGCUAACUACGUGCCAGCAGCCGCGGUAA